rnacentral:rRNA from 1 species
CCGGCUGAAACUUAAGCAUAUCAAUAAGCGGAGGAAAAGAAACCAACAGGGAUUGCCCCAGUAACGGCGAGUGAAGCGGCAACAGCUCAGAUUUGGAAUCUGGCCCCCAGGGCCCGAGUUGUAAUCUGGAGAGGAUGCUUCUGGCGCGGCGCCUUCCGAGUUCCCUGGAACGGGACGCCGGAGAGGGUGAGAGCCCCGUACGGUCGGACGCCUAGCCUCUGUGAAGCUCCUUCGACGAGUCGAGUAGUUUGGGAAUGCUGCUCAAAAUGGGAGGUAAAUUUCUUCUAAAGCUAAAUAUUGGCCAGAGACCGAUAGCGCACAAGUAGAGUGAUCGAAAGAUGAAAAGCACUUUGAAAAGAGGGUUAAACAGUACGUGAAAUUGUUGAAAGGGAAGCGCCCGUGGCCAGACUUGUGCCCCGCGGACCACCCGGCGCCCUCAGCGCCGGUGCACUCCGCGGGGCGCAGGCCAGCAUCGGUUUUUCCAGGGGGACAAAGGCGGCGGGAACGUGGCUCCCUCGGGAGUGUUAUAGCCCGCCGCGCCAUGCCCCUGGGGGGACCGAGGACCGCGCUUCGGCAAGGAUGCUGGCGUAAUGGCCACCGGCGACCCGUCUUGAAACACGGACCAAGGAGUCAAGCAUUGGGGCGAGUGUCUGGGUGCCAAACCCGCACGCGAAAUGAAAGUGAACGCAGGUGAGAGCUUCGGCGCAUCAUCGACCGAUCCUGAUGUUCUCGGAUGGAUUUGAGUAAGAGCCUUACCGCUUGGACCCGAAAGAUGGUGAACUAUGCCUGUAUAGGGUGAAGCCAGAGGAAACUCUGGUGGAGGCUCGCAGCGGUUCUGACGUGCAAAUCGAUCGUCAAAUA